rnacentral:rRNA from 1 species
UACGUAGGGUGCAAGCGUUGUCCGGAUUUAUUGGGCGUAAAGAGCUCGUAGGCGGUUUGUCGCGUCGGAUGUGAAAACCCAGGGCUCAACCCUGGGCCUGCAUUCGAUACGGGCAGACUAGAGUAUGGCAGGGGAGACUGGAAUUCCUGGUGUAGCGGUGGAAUGCGCAGAUAUCAGGAGGAACACCGGUGGCGAAGGCGGGUCUCUGGGCAGUAACUGACGCUGAGGAGCGAAAGCGUGGGGAGCGAACAGG